UGCGUAGGCGGUCCGCUAAGUUGGAUGUGAAAACUCUGGGCUUAACCCAGAGCCUGCAUUCAAAACUGACGGGCUAGAGUUCUGGAGGGGGUAGCGGAAUUCCUGGUGUAGCGGUUAAAUGCGUAGAUAUCAGGAGGAACACCGGUGGCGAAGGCGGCUACCUGGACAGAAACUGACGCUGAGGCACGAAAGCUAGGGGAGCAAACA
rnacentral:rRNA from 1 species